GACGGAGGGUGCAAGCGUUGUUCGGAUUGACUGGGCGUAAAGGGCGUGUAGGCGGUUCGUUAAGUCGGGUGUGAAAGCCCGGAGCUCAGCUCCGGAAGUGCGUCCGAAACUGGCGAGCUGGAGCGCGGUAGAGGAGGGUGGAAUUCCUGGUGUAGCGGUGAAAUGCGUAGAUAUCAGGAGGAACACCGGCGGCGAAGGCGGCCCUCUGGACCGUUGCUGACGCUGAGACGCGAAAGCGUGGGGAGCAAACAGG
rnacentral:rRNA from 1 species